UACGGAGGAUCCGAGCGUUAUCCGGAUUUAUUGGGUUUAAAGGGUGCGCAGGCGGGAUGUUAAGUCGGCGGUGAAAUUUUGCAGCUCAACUGUAAAAGUGCCUUCGAUACUGGCUUCCUUGAGUGUGGAUGAAGUAGGCGGAAUUUGUGGUGUAGCGGUGAAAUGCUUAGAUAUCACGAGGAACUCCGAUUGCGCAGGCAGCUUACUAAACCACUACUGACGCUCAUGCACGAAGGCGUGGGGAGCAAACAGGAUUAGAUA
rnacentral:rRNA from 1 species